GAUGAACGCUGGCGGCGUGCUUAACACAUGCAAGUCGAACGGAAAGGCUCCUUCUUUCUGGGUUACUCUAUUGGCGAUCGUGUGUGUAUCACGUUUGUGUUCUGCCCUUCACUUCGGUAUAUGCCUGGGUAACUUGGUCUAAUACCGGUUAGGACGAUGGUUUGGAUGCCAUUGUGGAAUGUUUUUCGUUGUGGGAUGAGCUCGCGGCCUAUCAGCUUUUUUGUGGGGUAAUGGCCUACCAAGGCGUCGACGGGUAGCCGGCCUGAGAGGGUGUAAGGCCACAAUGGGACUGAGAGACGGACCAGAAUGCAACGGGAGGCAGCAGUGGGGAAUAUAGAACAAUGGGAGCAAGCAUGAUGAAGAGAAGCAGGGAGGGGGAAGAAGGCCUACGGGUUGUAAACAAAAUUAGAAAGGGACGAAGAGAAAGUGACGGUAACAGGAGAAGAAGCAACGGCUAACUACGUG
rnacentral:rRNA from 1 species